rnacentral:rRNA from 1 species
AUUGAACGCUGGCGGCAGGCCUAACACAUGCAAGUCGAGCGGAUGAAGGGAGCUUGCUCCUGGAUUCAGCGGCGGACGGGUGAGUAAUGCCUAGGAAUCUGCCUGGUAGUGGGGGAUAACGUCCGGAAACGGGCGCUAAUACCGCAUACGUCCUGAGGGAGAAAGUGGGGGAUCUUCGGACCUCACGCUAUCAGAUGAGCCUAGGUCGGAUUAGCUAGUUGGUGGGGUAAAGGCCUACCAAGGCGACGAUCCGUAACUGGUCUGAGAGGAUGAUCAGUCACACUGGAACUGAGACACGGUCCAGAAUCCUACGGGAGGCAGCAGUGGGGAAUAUUGGACAAUGGGCGAAAGCCUGAUCCAGCCAGGCGGCGUGUGUGAAGAAGGUCUGCGGAUUGUAAAGCACUUUAAGUUGGGAGGAAGGGCAGUAAGUUAACACCUCGCUGUUUGGACGUUACCAACAGAAUAAGCACCGGCUAACUUCGU